UACAUGUGGGGCAAGCGUUGUUCGGAAUUACUGGGCAUAAAGGGUGCGUAGGCGGUUUGUUAAGUCACUGGUGAAAGUUUUCGGCCCAACCGGAAAAUUGCCUGUGAUACUGGCGAACUUGAGUGCGUGAGGGGUGGGGGGAACGAGCAGUGUAGCGGUGAAAUGCGUAGAUAUUGCUCGGAAGGCCGGAGCCGAAGGAGCCCCACUGGUACGUAACUGACGCUGAGGCACGAAAGCGUGGGGAGCAAACAGG
rnacentral:rRNA from 1 species